rnacentral:rRNA from 1 species
GGGCUCGAACGUAAGAUGACUGUAGGUGAAAGCUUACAUCUCUUCGGAGCAUUUUACGAGGUGCUGCAUGGUUGUCGUCAGCUCGUGCCGUGAGGUGUCGGGUUAAGUCCCAUAACGAGCGCAACCCUACCCUUUAGUUGCCAUCAGGUAAUGCUGGGGACUCUAAAGGAACUGCCUACGCAAGUAGUGAGGAAGCGGGGAUGACGUCAAAUCAGCACGGCCCUUACGUCCAGGGCUACACACGUGCUACAAUGGCCGAUACAGAGGGCAGCUACCUGGUGACAGGAUGCAAAUCUCCAAAGUCGGUCUCAGUUCGGAUCGGAGUCUGCAACCCGACUCCGUGAAGUUGGAUUCGCUAGUAAUCGCGCAUCAGCCAUGGCGCGGUGAAUACGUUCCCGGGCCUU